GUAAAAACUGCUGCGCACAUCUUUCUCGCUCGCUCGCCUUCAUGGAAUAGAUUUUAUCAUUUUGCUCUUUUUACUCGGGGCGGCCGCCAAAAAUCAUUUUCGUUCGAAAUAUGACAUUUUCUCACACCAAACCUUCUGUCCUGUACUUAAAUAUAUACAAAUAUUUUGGGGUUGCAGUCUUUAGAGCCGAAGGGAUGUGGUUUGCUGUGGAAAGUGCAGGAAAUAUGAACUCACGGAAAUUUUCUUCCUUUCUUUCGAAUUUAUAACCAAACUUACCUUUUAACCAUAGGUUCAGCGCGCAAUGCAAUUUCGAAUCAUGGAUGUUUUCAUUGAUGUUCCCUGGCCCGAAGAAAUUAUGGACAUUUUCACCCUGUGGUUGAAUUGCAUUGAAGAGGAGGAGGUUUUACGAAUUAAUAAACUGACGUCCAAAGGAAAAAGAAGCUGCCCAGAGACUCGCUUUUGACUCCCGCAACAAUAUUUAAACUAUGGGGACUGCCUGUCGGCGCACGCAACCUGUACGACAGGUCACUUUUGCUCCCCACUCGCCGCUGCAGCGGCUAUCGUAUUCACAAACCCUGCAGCAGCCGAUGCGACAUGAGUGUUUAAGCUGGAUAGCAAAGCAAUCUCACGCUUGAGCUCUUGCACCACUCGUGUUUGUAAAGCUGUUGGCCGAGGGCACAUUAAGCGUGUGCUGAUAUAGAAAUUACGAUUUGAACCCGUAUGGGUUCAGACUCCACUUCGUUGCUACUUGGCAAAUAAAAGCACACAUAUAAGGAAUAGUUGAGGUGUUUGACUAUCAUACGCAGCCCGCUUAUUCGAGCACCCACACUGGUGAAAUCCCCGACGUGUUUGGAAUUACCUUAAGGAAGAUGCCUGACGUACCUAAAACAUUCAAGCCCCCUUUGUACUCACCGGACCACCCAGGGAUUUUUUUCAUCUUAUUGGAGGUGGAGUUUGAAGUCCACGGCGUCGUGGACGAGAAGGAUCAGUACCUCACCCUAGCUUCUGCCAUUCCAUACGGCCAUUUACCUGAGGCCGCGAUCGCCCUGAUCCGCAAGCCUCCGGCUGAAACGCCGUACGCUGCCCUGAAGGAUGCCAUUUUGAAAAAUCUGUGCCCUACGGACUAGGAGUCCUUGCUUUAAGAUGAUUAUUUUCAUGAUACUUUAUUCUUAACGUGUGCCUCAUUGCAUUUUAAUAUGUUUCAAUUAUUGUAAAAUUACUUUGCCUGAAAAAUGUGGAUUUAUUGUAUGCAUGUUAUUUUCCAGUUCAGACUCCACUUCGUUGCUACUUGGCAAAUAAAAGCACACAUAUAAGGAAUAGUUGAGGUGUUUGACUAUCAUACGCAGCCCGCUUAUUCGAGCACCCACACUAAUACAUUUUUA